AGUCAAGGAGUACAAUACCAAAAUACGAGCUGCAAAAGUGACUCAAAUUCCUCUUCGCUCAUAAUUAACUACAUUGGUAAUUGUCCAUGUGUGGAUCUGGUUGACAUGACCAUAUUUUUUGCUGUUUGCCAUUCAAUUUUAACUACAAUAUUGUUUCUAGAUAAGAUAUUGUUUUAUGUAUUAUCAUGGGUGCACUUCUUAAGUUUCAUGCACAAGUUGUUGAUAUUUACACAAUACUUAAGUUUCAUGCACAAGAGGAAACAAUUCCCUGGAUGGAUCCUGGAAAGCCUCUUCCGGAACCAAGUCCCCUCCCCACUCGGAGUCCUCCGCCGCUGACGCAUGGGUAAGCGCAAGAGCUGUAGCCCGUCCACACGGUUCAGCGAGCUGCCGCCGUCGUAGAUAACCAAGACAUACACGGAAAUAAGCAAGAUUCAGUGCGCCGCCCUGCCCCCGCGCGUUCUGAGGGUGCGACGUCCUCGACGUGUCCAAGACAGGGUCCAGGAAGACCCUCUCCUUCGUGAUCCCGAUAGGCCCAAUCUUCCUCGACGAGGGGUUGUGAUGGCGGGCACAGCGUUGCUGGAUGACGCUGAGAGUAUAGUGGGUGGGUUCAAGUACAUCCCUCUGUGCCAGCAUGCAGCGGGUCUGCGGACAGGGAGAGCCAGGAAGAGAAUGUAGUCCUCGGCAGCCGAGCGGGAAGGGGGGCAGCUUGCCGUGAUUGAAGAACAUGACGACCAUGCUGAUACAAGGUCAGUGAUGUAGACAGGGAAGAUGGACCCUCAUGCCCCUGGGUGGACGAAGAGAUUGUGCAGGAUUGGAGUAGGGAGCCAUCCACCGGAAAGGACCCCGUGUUCGGAGAAGGUUUGCGCACUUGAAAAGACGAUUAGUAUGUGAAGAAGUGCACCUUCACAGAUCUGAAUAUUGAUACCCUUCCUAAUCCUUAGUUUUGGGCCUUGUUCAGCAUAUACAGAUAUACUACCAUCUUAGAGAAAUAUGUUGUUUAAAGAUGAAGAGGUGGAUAAGUUUCUGGCUUUAGUUACUGAAUAUCCAGAUCCGGUUUGCUUCUCAGCCAUGGCCUACAUUUAGAGAAGACAUGUUCAUAUGUAAGAGAUUUAAGAUCAGUUACCUCCUCAUGUUGUAAUGCU